rfam:Pteropus alecto contig13700, whole genome shotgun sequence.
GGUUCCAUAGUAUAGUGGUUAGCACGUUUGCUUUACAUACAGAAGGUCCUGGGUUCACACCCCGUGGAGCCA